UGUCAGAUCACAGACCUCAGCCUGGUGAGCUGUCACUGUGGCUUCCAGACGUGGGCAGUUUAACUUCCGAGCCUCUGGGCUUCUCUAGGCUCAGUGACGUGUGGCUGAUCGACUGAGUGUGGUACCCGUAUUAGUAGACAACACUGCCCAUCUGCUCUCUCUGGCAGAGUGGUAUUCUAAUCUCAGUCUCCACUUCCUGACACCUUCUUCACCGGGCUGCCUUCUUUAUAAAGAGCCACACCCUGGCCGUGAGAUCAACUUAAAAGUUUCUCCACACUCAGUGAACCAGUUUUAAGUAAUUGAAUUAAAGUUUGAGCUAGA